GACUCUCGGCAACGGAUAUCUCGGCUCUCGCAUCRAUGAAGAACGUARCGAAAUGCGAUACCUGGUGUGAAUUGCAGAAUCCCGCGAACCAUCGAGUCUUUGAACGCAAGUUGCGCCCGAGGCCUCUUGGCUGAGGGCACGCCUGCCUGGGCGUCACGCCAAAU
rnacentral:rRNA from 1 species